GACCGCUCCGGUAGCUUAAGUGGUCAGAGUUUCCGCCUCGGUUGCGGGAGGUCGUGGGUUCUAUCCUCGCUUGUGUCA